rnacentral:rRNA from 1 species
AUUGAACGCUGGCGGCAGGCCUAACACAUGCAAGUCGAGCGAGAGGCGGACGGGUGAGUAAUGUAUGGGGCUCUGCCCGAUGGAGGAGGAUCACUAAUGGGAACGGUGACUAAUACCGCAUAGUUGCGGCUGGACCGAUAUGGGAUUAGCUAGUAGGUGGGGUAUAGGCACACCUAGGCGACGAUCUCGAGUUGGUCUGAGAGGAUGAUCAGCCACACUGGAACUGAGACACGGCCCAGACUCCUACGGGAGGCAGCAGUGGGGAAUAUUGGACAAUGGGCGAAAGCCUGAUGCAGCCAUGCCGCGUGUGUGAAGAAGGUCUUCGGGUUGUAAAGUACUUUCAGUUGGGAGGCGUUACCAGCAGAAUAAGCACCGGCUAACUCCGUGCCAGCAGCCGCGGUAAUAC